rnacentral:rRNA from 1 species
AUACGGAGGGGGUUAGCGCUGUUCGGAAUUACUGGGCGUAAAGCGCACGUAGGUGGACUGGAAAGUUGGGGGUGAAAUCCCGGGGCUCAACCUCGGAACUGCCUCCAAAACUUCCAAUCUAGAGAUCGAGAGAGGUGAGUGGAAUUCCAAGUGUAGAGGUGAAAUUCGUAGAUAUUAGGAGGAACACCAGUGGCGAAGGCGGCUCACUGGCUCGAUACUGACGCUGAGGUGCGAAAGCGUGGGGAGCAAACAGGAUUAGAAACCCCGGUAGUCC